AGCGCCUAUUCAAACAAAAACCAGAUUACUCCUCUCUUCGAGUAUUUGGUUGUGCAUGCUGGCCCAAUCUUCAUCCUUUCAACAAAUACAAGCUUGAGUUUUGUUCAAAGCAUGAACCUGAUGCAACAAAUAAUGGUGACUUGAGCGGAAGAAGUACAGGUGCAGGCAUCGAGGAAGAUAUGGUGGCGACAGCUCCAAGAGCUCCAACAGCAGCCGUAUCGGGAUCGGCUUCUGAUUCGCCCUCCGUUCAGCAUGCUGGUUCCGUUCAGCACGAACUCGACCACGCCACGUCGUCCUCCGAUGCUGCAGGCAAGGGGAGCCUGACUGCGCCCGUUCAAAAUACGGAAGCUGAAGGUGAUUCGCCUGCGUCAUCUGCAGCAUCGCCAGCAGCUGAAGCUUCUUUACCAAGCUAUUCUAUUGCUCCGCCUAUGCAAGUUCCAGCAGCUGACCGUCCAAUGCACAGUGGAAUUCGAAAGGAGAAGAUAUAUACUGAUGGCACUGUUAAAUAUGGUUUUCUUACUGCUUCCGGUGAACCACAAUGUUUAGAUGAAGCCCUCCAUGAUAAAAAUUGGAAGACAGUUAUGGAUAUAGAA